rnacentral:rRNA from 1 species
GACGAACCGUGCGAACGUUGUUCGGAUUCACUGGGCUUAAAGGGCGCGUAGGCGGGCCAGCAUGUCCGGGGUGAAAUCUUUCGGCUUAACCGGAAAAGGGCUUCGGAAACGGCUGGUCUUGAGGGAGGUAGGGGCAGGUGGAAUUUCCGGUGGAGCGGUGAAAUGCGUUGAGAUCGGAAGGAACGCCGGUGGCGAAAGCGACCUGCUGGACCUCUUCUGACGCUGAGGCGCGAAAGCCAGGGGAGCAAACGGG